AAUGAACGCUAGCGGCAGGCCUAAUACAUGCAAGUCGGACGGGAUUUGGGAGCUUGCUCCUAAUGAGAGUGGCGCACGGGUGCGUAACACGUAUGUAACCUACCUUAAUCAGGGGGAUAGCCUCUCGAAAGAGAGAUUAACACCGCAUAAUAUAUUUUUAUGGCAUCGUAGAAAUAUCAAAUAUUUAUAGGAUUAAGAUGGGCAUGCGGAACAUUAGCUAGUUGGUAAGGUAACGGCUUACCAAGGCUACGAUGUUUAGGGGAUCUGAGAGGAUGACCCCCCACACUGGUACUGAGACACGGACCAGACUCCUACGGGAGGCAGCAGUAAGGAAUAUUGGUCAAUGGGCGCAAGCCUGAACCAGCCAUGCCGCGUGCAGGAAGGCGGCCCUAUGGGUUGUAAACUGCUUUUGUACCGGAAUAAACCCUUUUACGUGUAGAAGGCUGAAUGUACGGUAAGAAUAAGGAUCGGCUAACUCCGUGCCAGCCGCCGCAGUAA
rnacentral:rRNA from 1 species